CAGUAGCCGCGGGAAUACGAAGGGGGCUAGCGUUGUUCGGAAUUACUGGGCGUAAAGCGCGUGUAGGCGGGUCCUUAAGUCAGGGGUGAAAUGCCAAGGCUCAACCUUGGAACUGCCUUUGAUACUGGGGAUCUUGAGUCCGGGAGAGGUGAGUGGAACUGCGAGCGUAGAGGUGAAAUUCGUAGAUAUUCGCAAGAACACCAGUGGCGAAGGCGGCUUACUGGUCCACAACUGACGCUGAGGUGCGAAAGCGUGGGGAGCAAACAGGAUUAGAUACCCCGGUAGUCCCUGUCUCUUAUAC
rnacentral:rRNA from 1 species